GAGAGACCCCUUAGAGACGAUGAGGUAGAUAGGGCAGAGAUGGAAGCACAGCGAUGUGUGGAGUUGACUGUUACUAAUCGGUCGAUAGCUUGACCUU
rnacentral:rRNA from 1 species